ensembl:lncRNA
CAGAUUGUGACUGAAAACACAGAGCAGAGGUUUCUGCCAUCUUUCCUGCUACCGUGGCUCCCCGGCUGCCUGCAAAGCUGUGGAGGGGGCUCUGGCAGGGGUAAGUGCUCCCCACAGCAUGGGAAAGUUCUGCCUUUUUAGAGGGGACUGGGAAGAGGGGAAGGGCAUCAGAGACAAUGAUUACAGGCCCUUACAGGGGACACAAGGCUGCAGCUGGGUGAGAUAGCUGAGCUGAGGGCUCCCUAUGCUUCAAGUCCUGCUCCUCCUGUUGCUCCUCAUUCCAGUGUCCAGAUGAGUGAACCACAUCAGCUUGUUGAACAGGUGGUAAGCAGAAGCGAGAGGUGUUUGGGAAUGGCAAUGACAGUUGGGAAGAAGUCCCCAGCAGAGGUGCCCUGCUUUGCUUCAGGACUCCCAGCAUCUCCUGCAAGGCUGGAACACAGAGAGAACAGAGCGGAAGUUAUGUUUCUGAACAAGAGAUUGCCAGUGCUGCAGUGCCAAACUUUCCUUUUUGCAUUCAUUGCACUGAUCUGCAGAGACCUUCAUGAGCAGAGCAGCCAUGGAUGGGCAUAACUAGUGAUACUGCUAGAGCCUGCAUGGUUAUGUGCCUUGUACCAGCUGCAAACCAUCCCUGAUACAUGCCCAAGCCCAGCAUGACCUCCUGGAGCUACACAACGAUGGGGACAGGCACCUUUCCAGGUCAGGCAGUUCUGCAACAGUAAGGCCAUCCUCAUCAUCUAACCUGACUGGUGACACAACAGCACUGAAGUCCUUUCUGGCAAUGGGGAUAUGUCUGACUCCAGGGCUGGGGAUGCAUGGUGCUGGCACAGCAGACACACAGCCUGGCACCAGAGGCAGCAUGAGCUGUUGUCACCUCCCAUGCCAUUUGUACUGUAUUCUGUGCUGCACUGUGUCUGGCUGGGAUGGAGUUAACUCUCUUCUGCCAGCCCAUAUUACACUGUUUGGGAUCUGUAAGAAAAGCAGGGUUGAUAACACCCUGGUAUGUUAGCUGUUGCUGAGCAGAGUCUACACAGUGUGAAGGCCAUUUCUUUUUCCACAUGAGUAAGCUGGACACCAACACACAUCGCCUUCCCCAGCUUUCAGGAUCUGCACUUUGACUGGGGAUCCCUGUGUGGCCAUGUGCAGACAGUUGCUCCUGCAUGCUGUUCUUCAGCAGUGAUACAGGGAUGACUUAGCAAAAUCAGCUUUUUGACAGCGUUUCCUCCUGAUCAGCUCAGCCCAAUGGGUGCUGCCAGCUCUGCAGAGACUCCAGCUGGAAGCAGCACGUGUGCUCCCAGAAGCUUGCUGGAGAGUAGCUAUUGCCCCCACAGCACUGGUGGACAGGAAGUCAUAGGAUCCCAGCACUGCUGGGAUGGGAAAGGCCCCCCCAGCCCCACCCCUGCCAUGUGCUGGCUGCCCAGGGCCCAGCCAUGGCCUUGGGCACCUGCAGGGAUGGGGCACCCACAGCUCUGGGCAGCAGUGCCGGGGCUGCACUGCCCUGCUGCUCCCACCACUGCCCCAGCAGGACAGUUUGAAAUGCUGAGAUGCAGGUGGUAGUGACACUGCCUGCAAAGUCUGAACACAGCUGCUUUAUGGGACCAUGCAAAUGUGACCUGUUCCCAAAGCGCCC